UUAAUCGAAACCAAAAUAGAGGUAUAUUACUGUUAAUAAUAUGAUUGAAUAAAAUUCCGAUUAAG
rnacentral:tRNA from 1 species